UACGUAGGUGGCAAGCGUUAUCCGGAUUUACUGGGUGCAAAGGGCGUGUAGGCGGGAGUGCAAGUCAGAUGUGAAAACCACGGGCUCAACCUGUGGCCUGCAUUUGAAACUGUACUUCUUGAGUACUGGAGAGGCAGACGGAAUUCCUAGUGUAGCGGUGAAAUGCGUAGAUAUUAGGAGGAACACCAGUGGCGAAGGCGGUCUGCUGGACAGCAACUGACGCUGAGGCGCGAAAGCGUGGGGAGCAAACAGG
rnacentral:rRNA from 1 species